CCUACGGGGGGCUGCAGUGGGGAAUUUUGGACAAUGGGGGCAACCCUGAUCCAGCAAUGCCGCGUGUGUGAAGAAGGCCUGAGGGUUGUAAAGCACUUUAGGUGGGGAAGAAGGCUAGCUAUUUAAUACGUAGUUAGAUUGACAUUACCCACAGAAUAAGCACCGGCUAACUCUGUGCCAGCAGCCGCGGUAAUACAGAGGGUGCGAGCGUUAAUCGGAAUUAUUGGGCGUAAAGGGCAUGUAGGUGGUUUUAAAAGUUUGAUGUGAAAGCCCCG
rnacentral:rRNA from 1 species